rnacentral:tRNA from 1 species
GCCUGGGUGGCUCAGUUCGUUGGGCGUCUGACUUUGGCUCAGGUCAUGAUCUCGUGGUCCGUGGGAUCGAACCCCGUGUCGGGCU